GAAAUGCGAUAAGUAAUGUUAAUUGCAGAAUUCAGUGAAUCAUCGAAUCUUUGAACGCACAUUGCGCCCGCCAGUAUUCUGGCGGGCAUGCCUGUUCGAGCGUCAUUUCAACCAUCAAGCCCCCGGCUUGUGUUGGGGACCUGCGGCUGCCCGCAGGCCCUGAAAAACAGUGGCGGGCUCGCUGUCACACCGAGCGUAGUAGCAUACAUUCUCGCUCAGGGCGUGCUGCGGGUUCCGGCCGUUAAACGACCUUCAUAACCCAAGGUUGACCUCGGAUCAGGUAGGAAGACCCGCUGAACUUAAGC
rnacentral:misc_RNA from 1 species